rfam:Tessaracoccus lapidicaptus strain IPBSL-7 NODE_5_length_250005_cov_110.557, whole genome shotgun sequence.
UCUGGUCCUCGGUAGUGGCCUUCGGGUGCCUCAGGGCGCCCCCGCGGGCCUCGAUCGAAGACCGGC